GGGUCGAUGAUGAGAACCUUAUAUUAUCCUGAAGAGAGGUGAUGACUUAAAAAUCAUGCUCAAUAGGAUUACGCUGAGGCCCAGCCUAGAUGAGAAUUUUGGAAGAGGACGCUGGGAUCCAGAGGCCCCCGACAGGGCCACUGUAUUUUGAGCUGCAGACCUAGAGGCCCUGAAGGGCAUCUGAAGGGGGCCCAAGCCUGUCUCUGAGCUGCCCCGUGAGGCAGUCCAGGAUCCCUGUGUGGGCAUAUGCUGGGGCUCUGGUUCCCUAGGGGCAGGGCAUGUGGGUGGCUCCUCCCUGACCCCCAUUCACCCCUGUGUCUUUCAGUGAGCUCUUCUGCCCAGGCAGGCCCCCUAGCAUUGACCGGCAUAGGUGAGUGGAUCCUGCUGGGGUCAUGGGCCAUGAGCCAGGCUGCUGGGGUCGCCGAGGGUCAGCCUUUGGGACAGGAGGGUUUCCUUAGGGAGCCAACCUGAAUCCCCACUGGGGAGGGCUAGGUUCUCCAGGAGGGCAGCUUCCUUGGGAGUCUGACCCAAGGAGGAUAUCUUCUCUAAAGCCCUGCAGUGGUGAGGGUGGUCCAGGCAGCAAAGGGUUCCUUCAACCCCACCCAGGACAGCGCCCAGCUGAGACUCGGUGUGCAGGUCUGGCCAUGAGGACUGCCCAGGUCACAUGAGGGGGUCCAUAGGAGCUCCGGGGCACCACAGGGGUCACACAGGAGCUCUCCUUCCCCAGAGAGGGGUGAACUAUUGGGCCUAUGGGGUCAGGCCUUUGGAGAUCAAGGAUUGGGCCCCACCCAUGAACCUGAAUGGGACCAAGCCUUUGAGCAAUGGACCAUCCCAGUGGUGCCUCUGAGCCUAGUCGGGGGUGAUGUGGCUUCAAGGGGGUUGGGUCACGGCUGAGCUCUGGCCGGUGCCUGGUAGUGCUGCAGGCUGGCCCUGGGACUCGCUGGCUUUGGGCAAAGGGGCCAGCCCGUGUCCCGCUGGGGGUCACCCCUUCCCUGUGGGCAACUAGCAGGAAGGGUGGCAUCCUUAGCUGGGAAGGCCCGCUGUCGAGGGUCCUGUCCAGGGAAUUUGCCUCCCAGGCUUCUUCUGAUCCGUGGACUUACCUCCAGGGUGGUGGGGUCUUAGGCCCAAGGAAAGGAGAAGAUACCCUGUGUUCCCCGAUUGGCCGAGUGUGGCUUGGCUCUGUGUUUGGGAGGUGUGUAGGGUAUGAAUGGGGACCCACCAGAGAACACACAUGGCCCAGGGCCCCAGGUUAUGAUUUCCCAUGCACACUUGGAGAGAACUCUGGGUGGGUGCCCUCCACUCCCAGGCACAGGCUAUGCAACUGCCAGGUCUGCAGUGGCAUGUGUCUUCCAGGUCAGCCUCCUUGGUUGGCCAUGAGCAGGUUGGUUGCCCUGUCCUGUGCCCAGUGGUCUUGGAGUGGCCCAGGGGUCCUGCAGGGGAGCUGGUGUGGGUAGUGGAGGUGCUUGCGGGGCCUGCAAUAGAGCACAGCCUAGGUGCCUUGCACGAGCUCAGUGACCCACCUGCCCUGUCCUAGUCCUAGCUCAGUGACCCACCCCCCCUUGCAGUGAUGGGGAGUACCAAGCAUCUCCUGUGUCUGUGAUGGGUCAGUGUUCUCAUCACAUGGGUCCAUGGAGGGAGAGCAUGCAUGAGCUGGCACCACCCACCACCUUCCCACUAUGGAGGCAUGAGGCCAUGUUUGGACACAUGUCUUCUUGUCCCCCCAGACAGUGAGCCUGGAGGAAGACUUGCCUUGGUCCCACUGUCCCUGGGCCAGUGUCCAUCAGCCAGGCGCCCAGCCCCCAGUGCGCUGAAGCUCAGCCCUCCCUGGCACUCUGUUCUCCUGCACUGAGCUGUGUGAGCUCUUCUGCCCACGAGGGCCCCCUGGCCUUGAGCAGCAUAUGUGAGCGGAUCCUGCUGGGCUCAUGGACCAGGCCACGUGGGGUCACUGAGGGUCAGCCUUCAGGACAGGAGGGAUUACUCAGGGAGACAACCUGAAUCCCCACUGAUGGUGACCCUGAAGAAGGACUUGUGUUGGGCCCAAUGGCCUGGAGCCAGUGUCUGUCAGCCAGGUGCCCAGCCCGUGGCGCGCUGAAGUUUGGGCCCUUCCUGGUGCCCUGUUAUAUCGGGGGAACCCGCCCCCAAUAAUUCAACGUCCCUCCGUUUGGGGUCCCUGACUUCCCUCAACACUGGUCUCUUGCACUGAGCCUUGUGAGCUCUUCCACCAAGGAGGGCCCCCUGGCAUUGACUGGCAUAGGUGAGUGGAUUCAGCUGGUGUCAUGGGCCAUGGGCCAGGCCACGUGGGGUCACCAAGGGUCAGCCUUCGGGAAAGAAGGGUUUCAUCAGGGAGCCAAACUGAAUCCCCACUGGGAAGAGAUGGGUUCUCCAGGAGGGCGGCUUCCUGGGAAACAGGAACCAAGGAGGACGCCUUCCCUGAAGCCCUGCAGGGGUGACAGUGGUCCAGGCAGGAAAGGGUUCCUUCAAUUCCACCCAGGGUAGCUCCCAGCUGAGUCUUGGUGCUCGCGUCUGGACUGCUCUGACUAUAUGGGGGGCCACAGGGGCUCCGGGGUACCUUGGGGGGGUCACACAGGUGCUCUUUGUCCCUGGAGAAAGGUGGGUGAUCGGGCCCAUGGAGUUGAGCAGUGGAGAUUCAAGGAUUGCACCUGACACAUGGUCCUCAAUGGAACCCACCCUGUUGAGCAAUGGGCCAUCCCAUGGACCUCUUCAAGCCUGAAGGGGGGCGGUGCUGUUUCACUGGGUUUAGGUCAAGGCUGAGCUCUGGCCGGUGCCUGGUGGUGCUGCAGUCCAGCUGUUGGACUCGUAGGCUUUGGGCCAGUGGGGCAGCCUGCAUCCCUCUGGAAGUCACCCCUUCCCUGUGGCUGGAAGUUACCCCUUCCCAGUGGGCGAAUGUGGGGAAGGGUCACCUCCUGAAGUGAGAAGGCCUACUAUUGAGGGUCUGCUCCUGGCAAUUUGCUGCCCAUGCUGCUUCUGAGCCAUGGAGACACCUCCAGUGUGGUGGGAUCUUGGGCCCAAGGAAGGGAGAAGACACUGUGCCCCCCGAUUAGCUGAGUGUGGCCAGGCUGUGUGUUUAUGAGGUGUGAGGGGCAUGGAUGGAGACUCACCAGAGAAAGCAUGUGACCCUGGGACCCCAGGUCGUGGUUUCCAGUAUGUGCCCGGAUACAGCACGUGGGUGGGUGCCCACCAUGCACAGGGACUGGCUAUGUGACUGCCAGCUGUGCAGCAGCAUCAGGCAUACGGGCCAGCCUCCUUGGUUGACCAUGAACUGGUUGCUGGCCCUGGCCUGUGCCCAGUAGUCCUGGGGUGACCCUGGUGUCAUGUAGGGGAGCUGGCAUGUGUAGUGGAGGUGCUUGUGGGGCUUGCAGUAGGGCACAACCCUGGCUUCUAGCCUGAGCCCAGUGACCUGCCUGUCCUAUCCUUUCGGUGUUCAGUGGCAGAGAGAGCAUCGGGUGCCCUGCAUCCAUGACAGGCAAGUAUUCCACAUGGAUCUCAUCACAUGGGUCCAUGGAAGGUGAGCAUCCCUGAGCUGGCACACCACACCUUCUGUCCACAUGGAGGGGUGAGGUUGUGUUUGGACACUUGUCCUCUUCCUGUUCCUUGAGAUGGUGACCCCAGAGGAGGACAUGUGUUGGGCCCGCUGUCCCUGGCCAGUGGCCAUCAGCCAAGUGCCUUGCCCCUAUUGCACUGAAACUCGGGCCCUUCCUGUCACCUUGGUCUCCUGCGUUGAGCUUGAGUGAGCCCAUCCGGGUGCCACUGGAUGCCUAGGCAGGGAGGGGGGUGCCCUGGGUUGGGUCGAUGAUGAGAACCUUAUAUUGUUCUGAAGAGAGGUGAUGACUUAAAAAUCAUGCUCAAUAGGAUUACGCUGAGGCCCAGCCUAGGUGAGAAUUUUGGAAGGGGACACUAGAAUCCCGAGGUCCCCAGCAGGGCUGCUGUAUUUUAGGCUGGAUACCUCGAGGCCCUGAAGGGCACCUCAUGGAGGGGCCCAAUCCUCUCUGUGCUCUUCUAUUAGUCACACCAGACUUUCUGUGUGGGCUUGGUGUCCAUGCUCAGCUUCCCUGGGGUGGGACACGUUGGCGGCUCCUCCGUGAGCCCCAUUAUCCUCUGUGUCUUUCAGUGAGCUCUUCCCCCCAGCAGACCCCUGGGAUUGACAAGCAUAGGUGAGUGGAUACUGCUGGUGUCAUGGGCCAUGAGCCAAGCUGCGUGGGGUCCCCAAGGGUCAGCCCUCGGGCCACCUGGGUUUCCUCAGGAGCUGAUCUGAAUCCCAACUGGGGAUGUGUUCUCCAGGAGGGCAGCUUCCUUGGGAAUAGGACAUAAGGAGGAGGCCUUCUCUGAAGCCCCGCAGGGGUGGCAGUUGUCCAGGCAGGAAAGGGUUUCCUCAGCCCCACGCAGGGCAGUGCUCAGCUCAGACUUGGUGCUUGGGUCAGGCCUCUAACAUGGCCAGGCCACAUGAGGGGGGCAACAAGGGCUCCGGGGAGCCAAGGGCAUCUCACGGGGGCUCUCCAACCCUGGAGAAGGGUGGGUGAUUCGGUCCACGGUGUCAGGCCAUGGAGAUUCAUGGAUUGCAGCAAACCCAGGACCCUCAAUGGGACUGACCCUAUAAGCAGUGGGCCCUCCCAGUGGCACCUCUUUGAGCCAUUUGUGGGGCGGCGCUGUUUCUCUGAGGUUGGGUCAAGACUAGCUCUGGCCAGUGCCUGAUGGUGGUGCAAUCCAGUCCUGGGACUCGUGGGCUCUGGGCCAAGGCUGCAGCCCUUGUCCCACUGGGGGUCACCCCUUCCUUGUGGGCGAGUGGCAGUAAUGGCCUCCUGAGUUGGGAAGGCCCGCAGUGGAAGGACCUUUCCUGGAAAUUUGCAGUCCAGGCUGCUUCUCAGCCAUUAGGACAACUCCAGUGGGUGGGGGGGCAGGGGUGGGUCUUAGGCCCAAAGAAAGGAGAAGAUACCAUAUGUCUCCCGGUUGGCUGAGUGUGGCCCUGCUCUGUGUGUGGGAGGUGUUGUGUGGGGCAUGGAUUGGGACCCACCAGAGAAAGCUUGUGGCCCUGGAGCCCCAGGCUGAGAUUUCCAGUGCACCUUGAGGAAAGGAGGGUGGGUGCCCUCCAUGCACAGGGCAGACUGUGCAACUGCCAGGUAGGCAACAGCACGUGGUGUCCGGCCCAGCGUCCUUGGUUUGCUGUGAGCUGUUUGGUGUCCAUGGCCCCUACCCAGGGGUCCAGAUACCACCCGGGGUCAUGCAGGGGAGCUGGCGUGGUCAAUGGAGGUGCUCAAGGGGCCUGCAGUAGGGCACAGCCCAGGUGUCUUGCCUGAGCCCAGGAACCCACCUGCCCUGUCCUUCCAUGGUUCAGUGGCUGGGAGAGCAAAGGGUUCCCCUGAUCUAUGACACAUCAGUGUUUCCCAUGGAUCCCAUCACAUGGGUCCACGCAGAGAGAGCAUGUGUGAGCUGGCACCCCCCACCCCAUUCCCUGUAUGGAGGCGUGAGCCCAUGGUUGGACACAUGUCCUCCUCCUGUCCCCCCAGAUGGUGACUGUGGAGGAAGACUUGCUUUGGGACCGCUGGCCCCAGGCCAGUGGUUGUCAUCCAGGUGCCCAGCCCUUGGUGCACUUAAGCUCAAGCCCUUCCUGGUGCCCUGGUCUCCUGCCCUGAGCUGUGGUGAGCCCAUCCGGGUCCCACUGGAUGCAUGCGUGGGGAGGAGGGUGCCCUGGAUUGGGUCGAUGAUGAGAACCUUAUAUUGUCCUGAAGAGAGGUGAUGACUUAAAAAUCAUGCUCAAUAGGAUUACGCUGAGGCCCAGCCUUGGUGAGAAUUUUGGAAGAGGAUGCUGAGAUCCCAAGGUCUCUGGCAGGGCUGCUGUAUUUUGGGCUGGAGACCUGGAGGCCCUGAAGGGCAUCUUAGGGGUGCCCGACCCCAUCUCUGCGCUCCUCCUUGAGGCAGCCCAGGCUCCCUUGUGGGCUUGGUGUCAGCCCUCCAGUUCCCUGGGGUUGAGGCACAUUGGAGCCUCCUUCCUGAGCCCCCAUUCUCCCCUGUGUCUUUCAGCGAGCUCUUCUGCCCAGGGAGACCCCUGGCCUUAAGUGGGUUAGGUAAAUGGAUCUUGCUGGGGUCGUGGACCAUGAGCCAGGUCGCUUUGGGUCACUGAGAGUCACCCUUCAGGCCACGAGGGAUUCCUCAGGGAGCCCAUCUGAAACCCACCAGGGACGGAUGGUUUCUCCAGGAGGACAGCUUCCUUGGAAGUCGGUCCCAAGAAGGAUGCCUUCCCUGAAGCCAUGCAGAGAUGAUGGACAUCCAAGCAGGAAAGGGUUCCUUCAACUCAAUGCAGUGCACAUCCUAGCUGAGACUCAGUGCACAAGUCAGGCCUGGAGGACUUCCCAGGCCACAUGAGGGGGUCCACAAGGUCUCCAGGGGCCAUGGGUGUUAGGAGGGUGCUCUCUGUCCCCGAGGCUUGCAGAGGGGCAGGGUGUGGGUGAUCGGACUUCUGGAGUCAGGCCGUGAAGAUUCAAGGAUCGGGCCCAAACCAUGGCCCAGCAUGGACCGAACCUGUGGAGCAAUGGGCCAUCCCUGUGGUGCAUCCUUGAGCCUUGUGGGGGCGGUGUGGCCUUAGUGGGGUUGGGUCAAGCCUGAGCUCUGGCCUUCACCUGGUGGUGCUGCAGGCUGGCCCUGGGAAUUUGGGCUUUGGGCCAAGGGUGCAGUCUGUGUCCCGCUAAAGGUCACCCCUCCCCAAAGUGGAGUGGCCAGAAGGAUGGCAUCCUGUGGUAGAAAUCCCACUGUCAAGGGUCCUGUCCUGGCAAUUUGUUGCCCAGGCUGCUUCUAAGCCAUGGGUUCACCUCCAGGGUGGCGGGGUCUUGAGCCGAAGGAAAGGGGAAGACAUCAUGUGUUCCCUGAUUGACUGAGCAUGGCCUGGCUCUGCAUUUGGAGGUGUGCGGUGCCUGAAUGGGGACCCAUCAGAGAAGGUAUGUGGCCCUGGGGCUCCAGGAUUUGAUUUCUGGUGUGAGCUUUUAGAGGGGGUCUGUAGUGGCAUGUAGCAUUCAGGUCAGCCUACUUGGUUUUCUCUGAGCUUGUUGGUGGUCCCGGCCCUGCCCAGUGGUCCCAUUGUGGCACAGAGUCAUGUGGGGGAGCUGUGGCAAGGAGGGCCAAGGGUUCCCCGCAUUCAUGAUCGUCACUGUUUACAUGGAUCCCAUCUCUUGAGUCCAUGGAGGGGGAGCAUGUGUGAGCCAGCACCCCCUGCCCACUUUCCUGCAUGGAGGCGUGAGGCCGUAUUUCUAUACCUGUCCCCCACCCCUCCAGAUGGUGACCCCAGAGGAAGACGUGCAUUGGGUCCGCUGGCCCCAGGCCAGUGUCUCUCAGCCAUGUGCUCAACCCCUGGUGAGCUGAAGCUCAGGCCCUUCCUGGCAUCCUGGUCUCCUGCACUGAGCUGUGUGAGCUCGUCCUCCUAGGUGGGGCCACCUGGCAUUGACCGGCAUAGGUGAGUGGUCCUGCUGGGGUCAUGGGUCAUCAGCAGGAUGGAGUCACCAAGGGUCAGCCUUUGAGACAGGAGGGUUCCCACAGGCAGCCGACCUGAAUCCACACCAUGGAGGGAUAGAUUGGUCCUCCAAGAGGGCUGUUUUUUUCGGAAUCAGACCCAAGGAGGAUACCUUCCCUGCAGCCCUGCGGGGAUGACGGUGGUCCAGGCAGGGAAGGGUUCCUUCAUUCUUACGCAGGUCAGCUCCCAGCUGAGUCUCAGUACAUUGGUCUGGCCUCCAGGACUGACCAGGCCAUGUGAGGGGGGCAACAGGGGCUUCGGGAUGCAGUGGGGUCACACAGGAUCUCUCCAUCCCCGGAGAAAGGUGGGCAUAGAACCCAUGGAUUCGAGCUGCAGAGAUUCAAGAAUUGCACACGAAUUAUUGCCCUGAAUGGGACCGACCCUGUUGAGCAAUGUCCCAUCCCAGGGCACCUCUUUGAGCCUGAAGGGGGUGGUGCUGUUUCCCUAGGUUUGGGUCAAGGCUGAGCUCUGGCCAGUGCCUGGUGGCGCUAUAGUCCUGUCAUGGACUCGUUAGCUUUACGCCAAGGGGUCAGCCCACGUCCUACUGGGGAUCUCCCCUUCCCUGUGGCUGGAAGUCACCCCCUCCCCAUUGGCAAGUGUCAGGAAGGGUGACCUCCUGAGGUGGAAGGGCUGUUGAGGGUCUUGUCCCUGGAAUAUGCCACCCAUGCUGCUUCUGAGCCAUGGGGUCACCUCCAGGGUAGCAGGUCUUGGGCCCAAGGAAAGGAGAAGUCACCAUGUGUCCCCCGAUUAGACAAGUGCGGCCCUGCUCUGUGUUUAGGAGGUGUGUGGGGCAUGGAUGGGGACCCACCAGAGAAAGCAUGUGGCCCAGGGACCCCAGGUUGCAAUUUCUAGGACAUGCUGGGAUAGGGCACCUGUGUGGGUGCCCACAGUGCACAGGGAUAGGCUAUGUGACUUGCAGGUCUGCAGCGGCAUCUGGCAUCCAGGCCAGCCUCCUUGGUGGGCCGUGAACUGAAUGGUGGCGCUGGCCUGUGCCCAGUAGAUCUGGUAUGACCCUGGGGUCGUGUAGGGGAGCCGGCAUGGGCAGUGGAGGUGCUUAUGGGACCUGCAGUAGGACACAGUCGGGGCUUCUUGCCCAAGCCCAGUGACCCGCCUGCCCUGUCCUUCCAGGAUUCAGUGGCUGA